UGGGGAAUAUUGCACAAUGGGCGCAAGCCUGAUGCAGCCAUGCCGCGUGUGUGAAGAAGGCCUUCGGGUUGUAAAGCACUUUCAGCGAGGAGGAAGGCAUUAAGGUUAAUAACCUUAGUGAUUGACGUUACUCGCAGAAGAAGCACCGGCUAACUCCGUGCCAGCAGCCGCGGUAAUACGGAGGGUGCAAGCGUUAAUCGGAAUUACUGGGCGUAAAGCGCACGCAGGCGGUUUGUUAAGUCAGAUGUGAAAUCCCCGAGCUUAACUUGGGAGCUGCAUUUGAAACUGGCAAGCUAGAGUCUUGUAGAGGGGGGUAGAAUUCCAGGUGUAGCGGUGAAAUGCGUAGAGAUCUGGAGGAAUACCGGUGGCGAAGGCGGCCCCCUGGACAAAGACUGACGCUCAGGUGCGAAAGCGUGGGGCAGCAAACAGGAUUAGAUACCCUGGUAGUCCAGCGCUGUAAA
rnacentral:rRNA from 1 species